UACGAAGGUCCCGAGCGUUGUUCGGAAUCACUGGGCGUAAAGGGUGCGUAGGCGGGUCUUUAAGUCAGGGGGGAAAUCCUGGAGCUCAACUCCAGAACUGCCUUCGAUACUGGAAAGCUCGAGUCCGGGAGAGGUGAGUGGAACUGCGAGUGUAGAGGUGAAAUUCGUAGAUAUUCGCAAGAACACCAGUGGCGAAGGCGGCUCACUGGCCCGGUACUGACGCUGAGGUGCGAAAGCGUGGGGAGCAAACAGG
rnacentral:rRNA from 1 species